GAUGUGGACGCAUGCGGAUCCUUUUCAGGCAACACACUAGAGGUUGUGCAAGAACUGUUGAUGGUCGGGCAACCUGUCGAGGAACCUGCGCCAUUAUCACAAGGUUAACUCUUAUCCUCAGUCUACAUGUCACCUUCUUUGAUUGCUUUUAGGCUAUGAAAUAAUGCAUUGUGGAUUCAGACCUUCUUCACUCGUUUCAAUGUUGUUGUCACGGCAACAGUUCAGGUAAAUGGGAGGCAUGUAAGCUAAAUUUCAAGUGAUGUGAAUGUAGAUUACAGAAGUAGUAGCUUUAACCGAUGACCAGGAAAUUAUUUUCAAUCUAACAAUGAACUUUUUGAAUACAUUACAGUGCAACAAGGAACAUAUAGGCCUGGCUGCUGCUCUUCAGUACGCACGACAGCAACGACACUGCCUUCAAAAUAAAAGCACUUCUAAUCAUAUCAUUCAUAAUGACAAAUCAACUUGGAAGCAAAUAAUGUUCCAGCCUAAGCGCUUUACAGUGAAUGUAUUUGUUAUUUAUUAUUCAUCCAUCAGUUGCUUGAGCAUCUUGGACUUCACCGUAUUUAAGGACCCUACCCUACAACAAAUAAAUGCUCAUCCAUUGUUAUUUGUCUUUAUUUCUUCAUUUCAGCACAAAGUCAACACACAGAUGCUAAGGGGGAAGAACCCAACAGAAGACUAAAAAAGAAGGACAAAGGGCCCAGCAGAAAAAAGAACACGAAGAAACAUUCUGUAUCUCUGGAAAGUGCCAGGAGAGCAAAAAAGCAUCUUUGGUCUCCCAUGGAGGUUGCCGCAGUCAUGAGACAUUUUGGCCAACACAUCAAAAAAGGGAAACUGGCCACUAUGAUUGAAUGCCAGCAAUGCAAGAAGGCUGAAAAUCUUGCUCUGGCUGGUCGCUCUAUCCAAAACAUAAGAGAUUUUGUAAGGAAUCGGGGCGUAACUUUGAAAA